rnacentral:rRNA from 1 species
AGCGAACGCUGGCGGCAGGCCUAACACAUGCAAGUCGAACGAACCCUUCGGGGUUAGUGGCGGACGGGUGAGUAACACGUGGGAACGUGCCUUUAGGUUCGGAAUAACUCAGGGAAACUUGUGCUAAUACCGAAUGUGCCCUUCGGGGGAAAGAUUUACCGGUAAAGGAUCGGCCCGCGUUGGAUUAGCUAGUUGGUGGGGUAAAGGCUCACCAAGGCGACGAUCAGUAGCUGGUCUGAGAGGAUGAUCAGCCACAUUGGGACUGAGACACGGCCCAAACUCCUACGGGAGGCAGCAGUGGGGAAUCUUGCGCAAUGGGCGAAAGCCUGACGCAGCCAUGCCGCGUGAAUGAUGAAGGUCUUAGGAUUGUAAAAUUCUUUCACCGGGGACGAUAAUGACGGUACCCGGAGAAGAAGCCCCGGCUAACUUCGUGCCAGCCGCCGCAGUAAAAC